rnacentral:rRNA from 1 species
ACUCCUACGGGUAGGCAGCAGUGGGGAAUAUUGCACAAUGGGCGCAAGCCUGAUGCAGCCAUGCCGCGUGUAUGAAGAAGGCCUUCGGGUUGUAAAGUACUUUCAGCAGUGAGGAAGGCGGGUACGUUAAUAGCGUGCUUGUUUGACGUUAGCUGCAGAAGAAGCACCGGCUAACUCCGUGCCAGCAGCCGCGGUAAUACGGAGGGUGCGAGCGUUAAUCGGAAUUACUGGGCGUAAAGCGCAUGCAGGUGGUUUGUUAAGUCAGAUGUGAAAGCCCGGGGCUCAACCUCGGAAUUGCAUUUUGAAACUGGCAGACUAGAGUACUGUAGAGGGGGUAGAAUUUCAGGUGUAGCGGUGAAAAUGCGUAGAGAUCUGAAGGAAUACCGGUGGCGAAGGCGGCCCCCUGGACAGAUACUGACACUCAGAUGCGAAAGCGUGGGGAGCAAACAGGAUUAGAUACCCUGGUAG